rnacentral:rRNA from 1 species
UACGUAGGGACCGAGCGUUGUCCGGAUUCAUUGGGCGUAAAGAGCUCGUAGGCGGCUGCUCAAGUCGAAUGUGAAAACUCGAGGCUCAACCUCGAGCCUGCAUUCGAUACUGGGCGGCUAGAAUCUGGUAGGGGGAUCUGGAAUUCCUGGUGUAGCGGUGGAAUGCGCAGAUAUCAGGAGGAACACCGGUGGCGAAGGCGGGUCUCUGGGCCGAUACUGACGCUGAGGAGCGAAAGCGUGGGGAGCGAACAGG